AUUAGUAGGAAUCUACGCCUGAUAGAGGAGAGAUAUUCCUCCAAUCUGCUAUUUGGUAAACCUUUUCCCUGGCAUUCCAUCAUGAGGCUGUGGCUUUCGAUUUGGCUUCUAUCCAUACUCAACUUUCCGAAACCUUGCCAUGAAAUAAGACAUGGAAAAUUGGUGUGCCAUGGUGUCUCUUUUCACUCCGUUUGAGGGGCCUAAACGGGGAGGGUAUUCGGCAUUUUGCAGGGGCUGGAAUGGAGACCUAAUUUGUGCCUUAAUUAUGAGUAAAAUUCUAUGAAACUAACAUUAAAGGAAGUUCCGAUUA